rnacentral:rRNA from 1 species
AAAUUGAAGAGUUUGAUCAUGGCUCAGAUUGAACGCUGGCGGCAGGCCUAACACAUGCAAGUCGAACGGUAACAGGAAGCAGCUUGCUGCUUCGCUGACGAGUGGCGGACGGGUGAGUAAUGUCUGGGAAACUGCCUGAUGGAGGGGGAUAACUACUGGAAACGGUGGCUAAUACCGCAUAACGUCGCAAGACCAAAGAGGGGGACCUUCGGGCCUCUUGCCAUCAGAUGUGCCCAGAUGGGAUUAGCUUGUUGGUGAGGUAACGGCUCACCAAGGCGACGAUCCCUAGCUGGUCUGAGAGGAUGACCAGCCACACUGGAACUGAGACACGGUCCAGACUCCUACGGGAGGCAGCAGUGGGGAAUAUUGCACAAUGGGCGCAAGCCUGAUGCAGCCAUGCCGCGUGUAUGAAGAAGGCCUUCGGGUUGUAAAGUACUUUCAGCGGGGAGGAAGGUGUUGUGGUUAAUAACCACAGCAAUUGACGUUACCCGCAGAAGAAGCACCGGCUAACUCCGUGCCAGCAGCCGCGGUAAUACGGAGGGUGCAAGCGUUAAUCGGAAUUACUGGGCGUAAAGCGCACGCAGGCGGUCUGUCAAGUCGGAUGUGAAAUCCCCGGGCUCAACCUGGGAACUGCAUUCGAAACUGGCAGGCUUGAGUCUUGUAGAGGGGGGUAGAAUUCCAGGUGUAGCGGUGAAAUGCGUAGAGA